CAGUGUUAUAGCUUUUAGAAUUUGUCUAGUAGGUUUUCUGGCUUUGAAAGCUCCA
rnacentral:snRNA from 2 species